rnacentral:rRNA from 1 species
GAUGAACGCUGGCGGCGUGCCUAACACAUGCAAGUCGAGCGAUGAAGUUUCCUUCGGGAAAUGGAUUAGCGGUGGACGGGUGAGUAACACGUGGGUAACCUGCCUCAUAGUGGGGGAUAGCCUUCCGAAAGGGAGAUUAAUACCGCAUAACAUCAUUAGAUGGCAUCAUUUAGUGAUCAAAGGAUUUAUUCGCUAUGAGAUGGACCCGCGUCGCAUUAGCUAGUUGGUAGGGUAAUGGCUUACCAAGGCGACGAUGCGUAGCCGACCUGAGAGGGUGAUCGGCCACAUUGGGACUGAGACACGGCCCAGACUCCUACGGGAGGCAGCAGUGGGGAAUAUUGCACAAUGGGGGAAACCCUGAUGCAGCAACGCCGCGUGAGUGAUGACGGUCUUCGGAUUGUAAAGCUCUGUCUUUGGGGACGAUAAUGACGGUACCCAAGGAGGAAGCCACGGCUAACUAC